rnacentral:rRNA from 1 species
AACACAUGCAAGUCGAACGGAAAGGCCCUUCGGGGUACUCGAGUGGCGAACGGGUGAGUAACACGUGGGUGAUCUGCCCUGCACUUUGGGAUAAGCCUGGGAAACUGGGUCUAAUACCGAAUAUGACCACAUGCUUCAUGGGUGUGUGGUGGAAAGCUUUUGCGGUGUGGGAUGGGCCCGCGGCCUAUCAGCUUGUUGGUGGGGUAAUGGCCUACCAAGGCGACGACGGGUAGCCGGCCUGAGAGGGUGACCGGCCACACUGGGACUGAGAUACGGCCCAGACUCCUACGGGAGGCAGCAGUGGGGAAUAUUGCACAAUGGGCGCAAGCCUGAUGCAGCGACGCCGCGUGAGGGAUGACGGCCUUCGGGUUGUAAACCUCUUUCAAUAGGGACGAAGCGCAAGUGACGGUACCUAUAGAAGAAGGACCGGCCAACUACGUGCCAGCAGCCGCGGUAAUACGUAGGGUCCGAGCGUUGUCCGGAAUUACUGGGCGUAAAGAGCUCGUAGGUGGUUUGUCGCGUUGUUCGUGAAAACUCACAGCUUAACUGUGGGCGUGCGGGCGAUACGGGCAGACUAGAGUACUGCAGGGGAGACUGGAAUUCCUGGUGUAGCGGUGGAAUGCGCAGAUAU